UUUCUGAUUUACAUUCAUGGCAAAGUUAUCUGUUAAAAAGAUCUACCCUGUAAUCCAUCUAUUUCUCUGCCAUCCCAAAGAUCUGCUUAAAUUAGGGUGAUAAAUAUCAAAACCAAAGGCUAUUGGCUUCUUCUUCUUCUUCAUCUUUUUGUUUUGAUAUAACACACACACACACACACUGUAAUACCUGCCAUCAACUUUGAGCAAGUUGACUGGCCUUGGAUGCCAGACAAGCCCUCCCCCACACUUUUGGCUUUAUUUCCGGAUUUUGUGGAUCUCACUAAAGUAUUGGCAUGAAUUUAUUAGCAAACUUUCCCCUUCUAAGCAUGCUCCUUCUUCUUCACCAAAUCAGCUGAACCUCUUCUUGAAGCUUGGGGACGGAGGAAGGAUCUCUUCACCGGUGGCUCACCGGAGAGAUUAGUACUAGGAUGAGUAAGUCCUAGCCAUGUGCACAUGUUUUCUGUAGUAGCGCUAUCGAACAUGCGUGUCCGUUCCGACCGCGGUCGAAGAUCCGCUUUCGCUGUUGAUAUUUUGUCUGUUCUGUUCCGACUUCACAGUCGAAGAUCAAGCCUCGAGCUGUUGAUUCAGUUAUUAGUCAGGGAGAUGUACACUUCUAGUUUUCACGUAUUUUCCGUAUUUUUAAUGAUUUCUGUAUUCUAAGCAUUUUCUGUAUAUGUCUGCAUUAUGAUUAUUGUGUAAUUAUUUGUGUUAUCUGUUAUUUGUGCGAUCCUAUUGGGCCCUUGUGGCUCAUGUACUAUGUUUUUUUUUUCACAUGAGAAGAUUAAGCUUAGGAUUGGUGGGUUGUUCUGGGAUCUUAUUGUCGUAGUUGCUGUCUUGUUGAAAUAACUGAGCUUUAAGGUUGUAGACCUUGCUGUUGUUUUCAUGUUAGUGAAAUUUGUAUUCCAUAUGUA